rnacentral:rRNA from 1 species
AUUGAACGCUGGCGGCAGGCCUAACACAUGCAAGUCGAACGAGUGGCGGACGGGUGAGUAAUGUCUGGGAAACUGCCCGAUGGAGGGGGAUAACUACUGGAAACGGUAGCUAAUACCGCAUACCAUCGGAUGUGCCCAGAUGGGAUGAGCUUGUAGGUGAGGUAACGGCUCACCUAGGCGAAGAUCCCUAGCUGGUCUGAGAUGAGGACCAGCAACACUGUAACUGAGAAACGGUCAAGACUCCGACGUGAGGCAGCAGUGGGGAAUAUUGCACGAUGGGCGGAAUCCUGAUGCAGCCAUGCCGCGUGUAUGAAGAAGGCCUUCGGGUGGUAAAGGACUUUCAGCGGGGAGGCGGUACCCGCAGAAGAAGCACCGGCUAACUCCGUGCCAGCAGCCGCGGUAAUAC